rnacentral:tRNA from 1 species
GGUUGUUGGUGUCGUAGGCCAGCUCGACGAGGCCGUUGAGCGCGGCCGGCAGCUGAGGGUACAGCGGCGUCAGGUCGAAGCCGGUCGCCUGCUGC